rnacentral:rRNA from 1 species
GGAGGGGAGUGAAAUAGAACCUGAAACCGUGUGCCUACAACCGGUCAAAGCCCCUUAUGAGGGUGAUGACGUGCUUUUUGUAGAACGAGCCAACGAGUUACGGUAUGUAGCAAGGUUAAGUACUUAAGGUACGGAGCCGAAGGGAAACCGAGUCUUAAUAGGGCGACUAGUUGCAUGCCGUAGACCCGAAACCGGGUGACCUAUCCAUGGCCAGGUUGAAGCGAGGGUAAAACCUCGUGGAGGACCGAACCACGUUGCUGUUGAAAAAGCAUGGGAUGAGCUGUGGAUAGCGGAGAAAUUCCAAUCGAACUCGGAGAUAGCUGGUUCUCCCCGAAAUAGCUUUAGGGCUAGCGUCGGAUAUGUGUAGUGGAGGUAGAGCACUGAAUGGGCUAGGGGGCAUAUCGCUUACCGAACCUUAUCAAACUCCGAAUGCCAUAUACAUUUAGUCCGGCAGUCAGACUACGAAUGAUAAGAUCCGUGGUCAAAAGGGAAACAGCCCAGAUCGUCAGCUAAGGUCCCAAAGUGUAAGUUAAGUGGAAAAGGAUGUGGGAUUUCUAAGACAACUAGGAUGUUGGCUUAGAAGCAGCCACUCAUUUAAAGAGUGCGUAAUAGCUCACUAGUCGAGAGAUCCUGCGCCGAAAAUGUCCGGGGCUAAAACUUACCACCGAAGCUACGGGCUUGCGUAAGCAAGCGGUAGGGGAGCGUCGUAAUCGGGCUGAAGUCGUACCGUAAGGAGCGGUGGACUGAUUACGAGUGAGAAUGUUGGCAUUAGUAGCGAGAUGUAGGUGAGAAUCCUACAGGCCGAAUAUCUAAGGUUUCCUCAGGAAGGCUCGUCCGCUGAGGGUUAGUCGGGACCUAAGCCGAGGCCGAAAGGCGUAGGCGAUGGACAACAGGUUGAUAUUCCUGUACCACUACCAUCGUUAUUAUCGAGGGUGUGACGGAGAAGGAUAGUGUGUGCUAGCGAUUGGAAAUGCUAGUCUAAGCGUUUAGGCAGUUACGGUAGGCAAAUCCGCUGUAACGUUAAUGCUGAGGCGUGAUGGGGAAGGCCCUUGAGGCUGAAGUACAUGAUUCCAUGCUUCCAAGAAAAGCAUCUAGAGAGAGAAGUAGUGCCCGUACCGCAAACCGACACAGGUAGAUGAGGAGAGAAUCCUAAGGCCGGCGGAAGAAUUGCAGUUAAGGAACUAGGCAAAUUGACCCCGUAAGUUAGCGAGAAGGGGUGCCUGCGAGAGCAGGCCGCAGAGAAUAGGCCCAAGCAACUGUUUAGCAAAAACACAGGUCUCUGCUAAAGCGUAAGCUGAUGUAUAGGGGCUGACGCCUGCCCGGUGCUGGAAGGUUAAGGGGAACACUUAGCGCAAGCGAAGGUGUGAACUUAAGCCCCAGUAAACGGCGGCCGUAACUAUAACGGUCCUAAGGUAGCGAAAUUCCUUGUCAGGUAAGUUCUGACCCGCACGAAUGGCGUAAUGACUUGGGCACUGUCUCAACUGCAAAUCCGGCGAAGUUGUAGUGCGAGUGAAGAUGCUCGCUACCCGCGAUUGGACGGAAAGACCCCGUAGAGCUUUACUGUAGCUUAGCAUUGAAUUCCGGUAUUGUCUGUACAGGAUAGGUGGGAGACUGGGAAACUAGGGCGUCAGCCUUAGUGGAGUCGUCCUUGGGAUACCACCCUGACAGUACUGGGGUUCUAACAGGACGCCAUGAAUCUGGUGACUGGACAUUGUUAGGUGGGCAGUUUGACUGGGGCGGUCGCCUCCUAAAAAGUAACGGAGGCGCCCAAAGGUUCCCUCAGAACGGUCGGAAAUCGUUCGUAGAGUGCAAAGGCAGAAGGGAGCCUGACUGCGAGACAUACAAGUCGAGCAGGGACGAAAGUCGGGCUUAGUGAUCCGGU